rnacentral:rRNA from 2 species
AACGAAUGCUGGCGGCAGGCUUAACACAUGCAAGUCGAGCGCCCCGCAAGGGGAGCGGCAGACGGGUGAGUAACGCGUGGGAAUCUACCUUUUGCUACGGAAUAACGCAGGGAAACUUGUGCUAAUACCGUAUGUGUCCUUCGGGAGAAAGAUUUAUCGGCAAGAGAUGAGCCCGCGUUGGAUUAGCUAGUUGGUGGGGUAAAGGCCUACCAAGGCGACGAUCCAUAGCUGGUCUGAGAGGAUGAUCAGCCACAUUGGGACUGAGACACGGCCCAAACUCCUACGGGAGGCAGCAGUGGGGAAUAUUGGACAAUGGGCGCAAGCCUGAUCCAGCCAUGCCGCGUGAGUGAUGAAGGCCCUAGGGUUGUAAAGCUCUUUCACCGGAGAAGAUAAUGACGGUAUCCGGAGAAGAAGCCCCGGCUAACUUCGUGCCAGCAGCCGCGGUAA